AUGACCGACUGUUCGCGUUACUAGUCGUCACAACGGGCACAUAAAUAGCACCGAGGUGUCAUUCAGUCGAGGGAAGAGUGGGGUGGGGUGGGGGUAUCAGCUGUGCGUGAACACGUGUGACCAUACAGGACGGAGGAACCGUGCGACCUGUCCAUCACUCGCUUACCUGACGGAUACUCCAAUUACAGUCACACCACCAACUAUCACCGUGAAUGAGUCCCACCCAGCCUUCUGUGCAGUGGGAGCUGGACUUUUCGGGAGGAAACCGGCCACAGAUUAUGGAGCUGCCCACUCUCCUCCAUCCAAUACCAAAUUCGAGAAUGCGUGGAGCCUCUGCAUACCUUACAAGUCUUCUUCAUAGCACGAUGUUCAGAUACAAAGAACAGAAUACUGAAGAGAAUGUUUCGAUUUGGGACAGCAAGGAUCAGGAAAAUGACAAAAGUAUCGCCAUUGAUCGCUUCACAAUUUGUCUGAUUAAUCAAAUAUUAUACGAAUUUUCAAACAAAGGAUGAGUACAACCCGGAGGACAAGACAUUCUUAAACAACGCCUGCAAUUAAAUUGUGUUGUUCAAACUGGAUGUUUAUAGUCCUCUGAAAAUACAACAUUUUUUUAACGUUA